rnacentral:rRNA from 1 species
CUACGGGGGGCUCCAGUGGGGAAUAUUGCACAAUGGGCGCAAGCCUGAUGCAGCCAUGCCGCGUGUAUGAAGAAGGCCUUCGGGUUGUAAAGUACUUUCAGCGGGGAGGAAGGGAGUAAAGUUAAUACCUUUGCUCAUUGACGUUACCCGCAGAAGAAGCACCGGCUAACUCCGUGCCAGCAGCCGCGGUAAUACGGAGGGUGCAAGCGUUAAUCGGAAUUACUGGGCGUAAAGCGCACGCAGGCGGUUUGUUAAGUCAGAUGUGAAAUCCCCGGGCUCAACCUGGGAACUGCAUCUGAUACUGGCAGUCUUGAGUCUCGUAGAGGGGGGUAGAAUUCCAGGUGUAGCGGUGAAAUGCGUAGAGAUCUGGAGGAAUACCGGUGGCGAAGGCGGCCCCCUGGACGAAGACUGACGCUCAGGUGCGAAAGCGUGGGGAGCAAACAGGAUUAGAUACCCGCGUAGUC